AUGUUUUUGGUGGCCGGAAUCUUCUUGUUCACCGUGAACCAAAACAUACAGGCUGGCAGACGACGCUUGCGGUGGAGGAGAUGGUGGCAGAGAGCAGUGGCACCAGAGCCAGGUGCUGAGAGACAGGCAGCCACCAAGCAGAGCAGCCCUCGGCGUGAACCUUUGCGCUCCUGCAGUAAGGCGGACCAGAGGCUGUCAGGGCUGCCUGGCUGCCAGCCUGGCACAGCCAAAGUAGCGCUGCUAAAGGACAGCUACACUCAAACGGACAUCACAGGCCUGUGUGUAGCUGACACUAAAUGUAUCAGAUGCCAGAGACACAGUGCAGUGGCUACCGUCAUCUCAAAACUGUGUCUCAGUCAGGCACGAUCCAGGAAGAUCUCCAUGCACAUAGCCAGAAAAUGCCUGGAGAUAAAGCUUCGAUUCUUCCCUGUGAGAGUGAGGAAGUCCAUAGAACUGCUGCAACGUUUACAGCAAACACAGGGUGCCCCAGACUGCACACUCAAGAAGAAGUACCCCCUCGAUCGUGACCGGAUCAGGCGUGCGGCCAGGGCACCAGGAUCCCGCCCGAUUCCCACCUACUUCCAUAGCCGGGAGGCUUUGUUCCUGUCCGAGGAGGAGCGUGAGAAACUGGAGCUGCACAUCCGCGCCAAAAAGCUGGAGUGUCUGUGGUUCCGCCUCCCUCGUUCUCGUACCCGGCAUCCAUCAGAGUCCUCGGAGACAGAGUCCACCUGCACAUAUGUGACUGCACCGUCUGAGGACUGGACCAAGGAAGAUUGUACUGAGGCAGGCCCCAAAAGACACAGGUGGUGGCCCUGGUGGAAGACGUGCCCGAGGGGACUCAAGAGGGUCUGGAGCACCCAUGCAGAGUGCAGCAGCCCCCCACCUGCCAGUUUAACAUCGUAGGGGAAGAUGUAACCAUGAACAAGUCAGCAAAGACCUUAUGAGACUGUUUGGUACACCUUAUCACUGUGAAGCCCUGGAAGACCAGAGCAUGAGACAAAGGGCAAGCAUUGUCUGUUUGCAUCCAAAUGUGGACAGCAGGAUCUUUUGAUAUGCACUGUUACUUUCAAUUUAUAAAGCUUUCAUCCUUUAUCACUGUUGUCUGGGAGAAGUUAGAACCAAUUAAGUGAUUACAAGAACUGUUAAAGGAACAGGAAUGUCUUGCUUGUAAGUGAAUGGCAUAUAAGAUGUAUGUUAAAAACAAUAAAGAGGACUAUUCUGAUGCUACA
ensembl:lncRNA uncharacterized LOC107306126